rnacentral:rRNA from 1 species
GACGAACGCUGGCGGCGUGCUUAACACAUGCAAGUCGAACGGAAAGGCCCUGCUUUUGUGGGGUGCUCGAGUGGCGAACGGGUGAGUAACACGUGAGUAACCUGCCCUUGACUUUGGGAUAACUUCAGGAAACUGGGGCUAAUACCGGAUAGGAGCUCCUGCUGCAUGGUGGGGGUUGGAAAGUUUCGGCGGUUGGGGAUGGACUCGCGGCUUAUCAGCUUGUUGGUGGGGUAGUGGCUUACCAAGGCUUUGACGGGUAGCCGGCCUGAGAGGGUGACCGGAUGGACUGGGAGAGACAGAUGGCCAACAGUACUACGGGAGCCACAAGGGGCGAAGAGUCCGCCAGGGGCGAGAGCCUGAGGGAGCAAUGGUGGGUGGGUGAUCACUGAUCCAAGACUGGAAACCGACUCCGCCCGUGACCAACCGGCAGUGACGGUAAUGGAUAGAGAGGCGUCAGAUAAGCAAGUC